rnacentral:rRNA from 1 species
UACGUAGGGUGCAAGCGUUGUCCGGAAUUAUUGGGCGUAAAGAGCGUGUAGGCGGCCCGAUUAGUCCGCUGUGAAAGUCCAGGGCUCAACCCUGGAAUGCCGGUGGAUACUGUCGGGCUAGAGUCCGGAAGGGGCGAGUGGAAUUCCUGGUGUAGCGGUGAAAUGCGCAGAUAUCGUAAGGAAGACCAGUGGCGAAGGCGGGUCUCUGGACAGUUCCUGACGCUGAGGCACGAAGGCCAGGGGAGCAAACGGG